GUGAACGCUGGCGGUAGGCCUAACACAUGCAAGUCGAACGGCAGCACAGUAAGAGCUUGCUCUUACGGGUGGCGAGUGGCGGACGGGUGAGGAAUACAUCGGAAUCUACUUUUUCGUGGGGGAUAACGUAGGGAAACUUACCCUAAUACCGCAUACGACCUACGGGUGAAAGCAGGGGAUCUUCGGACCUUGCGCGAUUGAAUGAGCCGAUGUCGGAUUAGCUAGUUGGCGGGGUAAAGGCCCACCAAGGCGACGAUCCGUAGCUGGUCUGAGAGGAUGAUCAGCCACACUGGAACUGAGACACGGUCCAGACUCCUACGGGAGGCAGCAGUGGGGAAUAUUGGACAAUGGGCGCAAGCCUGAUCCAGCCAUACCGCGUGGGUGAAGAAGGCCUUCGGGUUGUAAAGCCCUUUUGUUGGGAAAGAAAAGCAGCAGGUUAAUACCCCGCUGUUCUGACGGUACCCAAAGAAUAAGCACCGGCUAACUUCGU
rnacentral:rRNA from 1 species